UUAAUAAAUAGUUAAUAGUAAAUUAUUAACUAUUGAGCAAGAGUCAGAAGAUGCUUAGCUUAGCAUAAAGACUGGAAACAGGGGAAAACAGCUAGCCUGGUUUUCUCCAACACUGCCAGUUUGACCUCUGACCCCUGAAGCUCUGCAGCAGCACCUUCGAAGGCUGCUGAGACUCGAUAGCCUUCUCCAGACAGAGGAGCAUCUACAUGCACGUAGGAACAGACACACGCAGGGAUGAUUUGUCUGCCUGUGUGUCAGCGGCGACAAACACACAGAGACACAAGGUCGUCGCCCACAGCAGCAGCAGUGUCCUCAUGACGGUUCACUCACAGACUGACAAACUGGCCACUGGAACAAGCUUGA